rnacentral:lncRNA from 1 species
UCUCCUUCAGUGUACCGGCACCACCGCGAACUGACUGCGGCAAGGUCCUCGUGUCUCUCAAGCAGGACUCGGUGCCGCCGCCGGUUCCAUUAAGUUUCGCACAGAUCCACCGGAAGCAGUCAACACGGAAGGGUCGAAACUCCAGAUCCAGUGGCAGGGAGACCGUCGUCCACCUCGCGAGCUCCGAUCAGGUGAGUUCUUUCCCAUCAUGUCGGCUCGUCAUGGCCAGUUUAUGUGUUCUAUUGGAAUCUUUUCCUCCAUGGAUGGUUUUGAAUCCAUGGCUGUUCUUGUCCACAGGUGCUAGCUUUGCAUGUAUCAAAUUUUGCUCCAUUUAUUUCUUUGAUUUGAUCCGGGUGGGUUGCGGCCUUGCGGGAGCAGCCGACCUGCCGGCCAGCGGGUCAUCUCGUCGUCUCCCAUCUCCUCCGUGGCUGAUGUGCUCCCGUGAAGUGGAGGUCACCUCAAGUUCUUUGCUUGGCCACUAGCCAGAUUGUAUAACGGGAGGUGGUCCGUUGGUUGGAUUUGCCGGGCAUGCAGAAACUCUAGUCAAAUUCUUUUUUCUCUUCAUGGGCAGUGCAUUUUGUUUGCAGUCAAAUCUUUCUUUUUUCUCUCCAUGGGCAGUUCAUUUUUUGAAUUAUUUGGUUCACUGAUCUUCCCUUGCCUUGUAUUCCCCCCUUCUGUUUCUUGCUUGCGUGUUUUUUUUGGUGUGCAUAUUGUUUUCCCCUAUAGGAUUCCAUCCGUGUUACUACUGUUUUGAAGUUGAUUAAUAAUUUAUUCCCUAUGUUUUUGAGGUACUUAUUCCUAGAAUUUGUUCUUUUGUAACUAAGUGCAAAACGUCUAAAAAAUGGUUGCAAAAACAAUGAGCCAGAUAUUGGAUGGUUCUUCUCGAUAAUGGAGAUGUUUUCGAAAGCAAUGAUUUGAAGGGCGAUGCAUGCGGGCGUAUUUUCCAGGCUGGUCUCCUUCAACAAACAAAAUCAAAUUUGGAUAGUUGGAGGAAGGGAUUUCACUUGCAGAUUUGUGACGCGACCGUAUUUUCCAGGCCGAAGCCGUGGCCUUUCGGCGUGCUAUUGCAGGGGCGAGUUUCUUUCCGGCGGGUUGUGGUGUUCUGGUGGGUGUGCGUCUGACUCGGGGAAGAAGAACAGUAAUUGUUGGGCGGUUGGGUAGAAUAGGGAGAAUGGAGCGUGUCAAUAUUGGCCCCAAUCUGCCGCUGGGGGCCAACACUGUUUCCAGACUGUACUGCUACUUGUUAAAUUUUGGUAUAUGCAGUGAGCAGUUAAUUUUUUCACUUGACUGUUUAUUGGAACGCAGAUUCAAAAUUUGAAUCUGAAUCUGGUGUGUUGAGUGUUAACCCACAAGAAAAACACGAUAUCUUUUAAUUAUUUGUUCCAUAUCUGACAGGUUUGAAACUAUGUAUCAGGAUUAGAUAGACUGGUUUGAUGUUCCACUACUGGCACUUGUUGCUGAAUCACUCCAGUCCUGGUUCGGAUCAAGUUCGAAAAAACUGUCUAAUUUCUUUGCAAACGUACAGUUCUUGCUUAAGACCUCUGGUCUGUUAAAAUAUGUGCUGGCGCUUCUUGCUUAUGAAGUGCUUCAGACCUUGG